rnacentral:rRNA from 1 species
AGGAGCUUGCUUCUCUGGACGAGUUGCGAACGGGUGAGUAACGCGUAGGUAACCUGCCUGGUAGCGGGGGAUAACUAUUGGAAACGAUAGCUAAUACCGCAUAACAGUAGAUGUUGCAUGACAUUUGCUUAAAAGGUGCAAUUGCAUCACUACCAGAUGGACCUGCGUUGUAUUAGCUAGUUGGUGGGGUAACGGCUCACCAAGGCGACGAUACAUAGCCGACCUGAGAGGGUGAUCGGCCACACUGGGACUGAGACACGGCCCAGACUCCUACGGGAGGCAGCAGUAGGGAAUCUUCGGCAAUGGACGGAAGUCUGACCGAGCAACGCCGCGUGAGUGAAGAAGGUUUUCGGAUCGUAAAGCUCUGUUGUAAGAGAAGAACGAGUGUGAGAGUGGAAAGUUCACACUGUGACGGUAUCUUACCAGAAAGGGACGGCUAACUACGUGCCAGCAGCCGCGGUAAUACGUAGGUCCCGAGCGUUGUCCGGAUUUAUUGGGCGUAAAGCGAGCGCAGGCGGUUAGAUAAGUCUGAAGUUAAAGGCUGUGGCUUAACCAUAGUACGCUUUGGAAACUGUUUAACUUG